rnacentral:rRNA from 1 species
AGAACGAACGCUGGCGGCGUGGAUAAGACAUGCAAGUCGAACGGGAUUACUUCUGUAGCAAUACAGAAGUAAUUCAGUGGCGAACGGGUGCGUAACACGUGGGCAAUCUGCCGAAAAGUGGGGGAUAGCUCGCCGAAAGGCGAAUUAAUACCGCAUGUGGUGAGAGAAGACAUCUUCUUGAAUCCAAAGCCGGGGCAACCUGGCGCUUUUUGAGGAGCCCGCGGCCUAUCAGCUAGUUGGUGAGGUAACGGCUCACCAAGGCUUUGACGGUAGCUGGUCUGAGAGACGACCAGUCACA